UUCAACGGAAGAAUUGCAUCUGAAACUGCGAGUCUUGAGUGUAGGAGGGGAGAAUGGAACUUCUGGUGGAGCGGUGAAAUGCGUAGAUAUCAGAAGGAACGCCGGCGGCGAAAGCGAUUCUCUGGCCUAUUACUGACACUCAGUGUGCGAAAGCUAGGGGAGCAAACGGGAUUAGAUACCCCGGUAGUCCUAGCCGUAAACGAUGGGCACUAAGUAGAGGGAAUUACCGAUGUUCUCUCUGCCGUAGCUAACGCAUUAAGUGCCCCGCCUGGGGAGUACGGCCGCAAGGCUAAAACUCAAAAGAAUUGACGGGGGCUCGCACAAGCGGUGGAGCAUGUGGCUUAAUUCGAUGCAACGCGAAAAACCUUACCGGGGCUUGACAUGGUAGAAGUAGGAACCCGAAAGGGUAACGAACGGUAUCCAGUCCGUAGCUAUCACAGGUGUUGCAUGGCUGUCGUCAGCUCGUGUCGUGAGACGUUGGGUUAAGUCCCCUAACGAGCGAAACCCUUGUUUUUAGUUACCAGCGGGUUAUGCCGGGUACUCUAGAAAGACUGCCGUCGUCAAGACGGAGGAAGGUGGGGAUGACGUCAAGUCAUCAUGGCCCUUAUGCCCCGGGCUGCACACGUGCUACAAUGGUCGGUACAAACGGAUGCGAAGCCGAGAGGUGAAGCGAAUCCAAGC
rnacentral:rRNA from 1 species